UCCUCGUUAGUAUAGUGGUAAGUAUCCCCGCGUGUCACGUGGGAGACCGGGGUUUGAUUCCCUGAUGGAGAG
rnacentral:tRNA from 1 species